CGGGUGCAGCAGGCGCGAAACCUUUACAAUGUGCGAAAGCGUGAUAAGGUUACCCGGAGUGCUAUUUUAGCUGUUACAGGGUGUAAAUAACCCUGAGAGGAAGGAGAGGGCAAGGCUGGUGCCAGCCGCCGCGGUAAAACCAGCUCUUCAAGUGGUCAGGACAAUUAUUGGGCUUAAAGUGUCCGUAGCCGGUUUGGUAAGUUCCUGGUUAAAUCUGGCAGCUUAACUGUCGGCGGGCUAGGAAUACUGCCUUACUAGGGGGCGGGAAAGGUCCGAGGUACUCCAGGGGUAGCGGUGAAAUGUGAUAAUCCUUGGGGGACCACCAGUGGCGAAAGCGUCGAACUGGAACGCGCCCGACGGUGAGGGACGAAAGCUAGGGGAGCGAACGGGAUCAGAUACCCCGGUAGUCCUAGCCGUAAACGAUGCGUGCUAGGUGUUGGUAGGGCUAUGAGCUGUAUCAGUGCCGUAGGGAAACUGUUAAGCACGCCGCCUGGGAAGUACGCUCGCAAGAGUGAAACUUAAAGGAAUUGGCGGGGGAGCAC
rnacentral:rRNA from 1 species